CUACGGGUUGCUGCAGUCGCGGAACAUUUACAAUGCGCGCAAGCGUGAUAAUGCGAACCAAAGUGCUUUUCUUUUUGAAAAGCUUUUAUUUACUGUAAAAAUGUAGAUGAAUAAGGACUGGGAAAGACUGGUGCCAGCCGCCGCGGUAAUACCAGCAGUUCAAGUUGCAUCCACUUUUAUUGGGUCUAAAACAUCCGUAGCUUGUUGUCUAAGUCCCUUGUGAAAUCUCAUGUCUCAAGCAUGAGGCUUGCAGGGGAUACUGGAUAACUAGAGAUCGGUAGACGUAAGAAGUACGCGACGGGUAACGGUCAAAUGUGUUAAUCCGUCGUGGACUAACGAUGGGCGAAGGCAUCUUACGAGGACGAAUCUGACAGUGAGGGAUGAAGGCCAGGGGCGCAAAACGGAUUAGAUACCCUAGUAGUC
rnacentral:rRNA from 1 species